CUGCAUCCUGAGAGGUAACAACCUAGAUAAAUACUUUAUUUAUUUAUAAUCUAUCCACCUAUUCACCUAUCCAACACAUAUUUGGUGAUUUUGAUUAAAUUCCAGGUGCCUUUGCUAAGGAUGGAAGGACAUACAAAAAUGUGAAAAUCCAGGCACAGGCUCUUCCUCCAAGGUGGCUCAGUCUAGCAGGGGGAGACCCUCUAUGUAAAUAACUCUGAGGGAAGGCAUGCUGCUGUGUGGCUCUUGACAUUUACCUUAUCCUGGAGCUGAGUUUCGUCUCUGCGGCUGUGCAGGGAGAUGGUGGAGGUCUGUGGGGGCUGGAGCAGAUGGAAGGCUUUAGGGAAGGAAGCCCCAAGAUAACGAGGGUGAAUUCAUCUGGUUGGGAGUGGAAAGGUACUGUGGGUUUUUGUUUUUUUGUUUUGCUUUUUGUGUUUUGGGGUUCUUUUGCUGAGACAAUAAAGAGCAAUUAUAUUUGGAGGAUCUAUUUGAUGGAGUCAUGAAAAGCAAAAUGGAGGGAGCCAAUGUUAUUACAAAAUCCAGCUGUGAAAACAGGAACUCCUGCAAUGGUAACUAGAAAUAAGAUCAGAUGGGGAGCCAUAAGGAAGGAAGACAAGACCGCCAUGCCAGCUUAUUAACAGGUGUCAGGAGAGGCCUGGGGUCAUAGGACCAGACUGCAAACAACACAAUCCCAGAAUAAAUCCUAUUAAUUUGGCAUAAUUGAUGAAAAUGAAGAUUAGAUAUUUGACCAGAGAUGAGAAAUUCAUGGGCAUGAAUGCUGCAGCUCUGAUUACUUUGCAUAUGAAUGUGUGGUAAGAGGCAACAUUUCUUUUGUUUAAAACCCUGUGCACUUAAUUCACAUUCAGAGAAAGGUUGUGGAAUCAUUCAGGCUCACUGCAAACA